CAUCUCCGCAGGCUGCAGGCCCCCAGGCUGGGCUGGCGAGUUAUCUCUUUGAAAGGCUCACCCUCAAGCACAACUAGGAGC
rnacentral:pre_miRNA from 1 species